rnacentral:lncRNA from 1 species
GAGAAAUUAAAAGCUUAUCUCUUCAAUUAUACGUUUCCCUGCCUCAGACUUCAAGAGGGAGUUGAUGUGGUUUGUGAGGUGCUAAAAUCCCAGGGUUUGUCCUAGAAUGCACUCUGGCUCAAGACCCACCAUGAAUGGAUGCGUGUGUAGUCACCCCUUCUCUCUGCUUCUUACGUGGAUAAAAUGCAAGAAAGAGCAGGCAGUCUGAGGGGUAGGGGAUUUUCACUUUAUAUAUUCCUUAUUACCUCAGACCGCACAAGUGUGGGUGUUAAAAAUAGUCACUCACACAGAUACACACUAUUUCUCUAGCACCACAGCCUCCACUUUGAAUCCAAUGGCUAUGGGACUUCAGCUCCCAAAUAACACUUGCUUCUAAUUUUUGGCUAUUGCCAUACCUUCUUUUCUGAUCUGGCUUUCUCUGCUGCCAAGACUCUUCGAUUCAAGAAAAACGCCCAUGUUGAAGAUUGUUUAGGAG